GAGCCUGGAAGCUGGUGCCGGAAAGAGCUGGCGCCCUGUCCCGGGCAGCACAGCGUCCGAGCAUCGCUCUGUUCAGCUUCAGACCUGGACUUUCCAAGGGGGCCGCUUUCCUCAUCUUCGCAUUCCUCGUGCCUGGCACGUUCUCAAACUUGGGAACCAGCUCAGGCAAUUUCAGCACUGGUGGCUCAGAGGAACAAAGUGUUUGCUUUGGACUUACAUUAUCCUGAAGCCGUGACAUGCCAGAUCACAUGCACGCGUUCGGAACAGCGAUGCAGUCAGCAGCGGGGAGCUGCUCCUCCUCCCCGGGAAGGGGCAGCUUUGAGCUUGCCCUCGAGUAGACGCGUAGACGGCAGUGAUGGUGAGCUUAGACCAUUUUGUUCAGCAAAUUUGAGGAACCAUGGCCUUGCUGGCUGCCAGGCAGAGACAAAUGGGAAAUUUGCACAGAACCCUACAAUUCAGUCAACUUCUCAGAGGACAGAAGAGGAAACUUCUGGGCAGCCAACCCAAGAUUCGGAGGCAUUAGCUGCUGGACCCCAAGUCCUUGGCUGUUCUUUGUUCUUGUCACAGGAGAGAAAGCAGCUGGCCCACACAAACGAGGUUCCUUCCCACAGAGCUGUAGUCUGCUUUGCCUGGGAGAACUUCAGACAAGAUCUCAUUUCCCCCCAAGAGGUUCAGUGUCUGCUUUGUCCUGUGGCUGCCUGCAACAUAAAUCACAACACAGGAUUGUUCCACAGGAUUCUCCCAUCUUGCAUAUUAGGGGUCAUCUAGACAGCAAAUCCGAAGGGAACCUGGAGCGGGCAGCCAGAUACAGGCUUUACCUUUACUUAUUGAAGAUAAAAAGGAAGAAGCCAGCUAAUGUUUACAACAGAGAGGAACCAUGAAAAAACUGUUUUAGUUGUUGAGUUUGUGAAUGUCUUUAUUGUAGUUUUUUCCUUUGACAAGAGGAAUUAGCACUCAAAUGUUAGCUGAGCCUCACUUCUGAUAAAAGAAAAAACCAUAAACUAGGCAAAUAAAAUUAUGUUUUAAUCUAUCGAAACCCGAACUUUACUGAAACAAGGGAUUGCAUUUGGCAAUAAGAGGUAAAAUCAAAAAUAAUUAAUUUUUAUCCUUAAAUUACUGCCUUAGACAUUGAUUUUCAACUUGCAAGGUAUGAUUCUCAUCAUAUAAACAACGAAAAGUAAGUAUUCCAGAAAAGCUGUGAAGAAACUGAAGCUAGAUGGAGACUCUUCCCUUUGUGUUCUCAACUGCAAGCACACAUUCAGACACAGUGAACCAACGCGACACCGCCCGCGCGAGUGUGAAGUCCACGGUUUGGAGGCAGCCACUGUAGCUCAGACCGGAAACGAGGCAGAAGCUGCUCUGGACAAACAAUGGUUCUCCUGAGAUAAUCAUUAACUCUGCUGAGAGUACAAAGUCAGAUGAAAGAUUCCCUUUCUGGAAAAGCUAUGGUAAGUUCAGUGAAACUCUGGCAGCCUGAUUUGAGAAAGAAUGCUCUGUUUUCACUCUGGGGAGACAACUAGAGCAGCAUUGCCUGUGAGCUAUAGAAUGUCUUAGUUUUCAAACACAUCAGCUCCAUUUCUGCUUGAAUAGCCUGAACAAAACUCCCAGGGUACCUCAAGGUAUCUUUUGGGCUCCAGGUAUUUGUGACUGGCACAAAUAAGACUGGGUGACGACUGAUCUUAAAAAUAUUUUAAGACAAGAUAAUGCUGGGCUACAAGACACUUUUCCAAGUAAAUCAACUUGAACUUCAUUGACCACAUUUAAUUCAUUUUCCUCUGUGUAUUCAUGGCUAGAAAAUUGAAUACUCAUGGGAUAUUUGUUUCUAUUUCAUUCUUCCAUGCCGUCUUAUUGUUUGCCCCACUGUUUUCCCACCUAGCCAUAAUGACUCUAUUUAUGUAGGUGCUACACGGUGAAUAAUUGGUCAUGGGUUUGGAAUAAUGCAUAAACUGUGUUUAGACUUGGAUGAUGAAAGAAUCAAUGUAUAAUAUUUGAUCCAUGCAUGUGUGUUUUGUCUAUACAAAUCUAAGUGUUAUAACCAGUAUGUUUUGGUAAAUUAUACUUCCUUUUUAAAAAUUAAACAGUAAAAACAAAAGUGAAUUGAUGUGUUCUAAAGUUCAAAUGGUAUAUCCUUCUUAUUAUGAAACAUGCUCAGCCCUACCCAGCUAAACUUUUCUCUAACCCUCGUGGUGGCCUCAGGACAUUUUCUUGGCUUCAGCUCCAACUCUUUGUAUUAUUCCUGGAUGUCCACAUGAUUUGCCAACCAGUUUUUCUUCUCCAGAUUUAUGGCUGGCUUGUUUUCUUAAUCCUUACCACUGAAUUUCCACUCUCAAAAUAGAGACACACAAUGCUUUCACUCUGCUAAUUUCUCCUGACUCAUCAGGAGCCUCUUUCUCCUAGGAGGUUGAGCCUCCAUUUUAUUGCUUUGUCUCUUUAAGAAGCUAGACCAUUUUCUCCUAAAUAUUCUAAGCUACCCAACAUAACACAGCAGUUUAUAAAUAGGAUUAGUGGCCUCUUUGUAAUGAAUGUGAUAUUAUUUGCAGACUUUACACCCCAAGUUUUUGUCCCACUCUAUUACCAGUGGUGGUAACCCCACCUCACUCCUGCAGGUUUGUGUCCAGUCAUUGACCUGACUCUUGCCAAUGUUAUCAUUUUGCUAAAUGAUGCUAAAUAAUGGCCUCUCUUUCGCUAAAUCCACUAGUCACCUCAUUGCCCCCAGCUGUUACUCAAACUCUCAGCAAGGUUCAGCACAGCUGGCCACUCUGUCCUUUGACGCUUCCUCUCCACUUAGAGCACUUUCUUCUCAACAGCGUGACCUUCUGGGGUUUCCUCUGGCCUCACUGGCUGUGCCAUCUCGGUGUCCUUGCCUAGGGUCUUCUCCUCCACCGCGGCUAGAGAGCACCGGAGUGUGUCAUGCGCCACCCACCUCUGUCCUCCCUGCCUGCAGGGUCUCUCCAGGAAUUCCCAUCCAAGGGCACGGUAUCAAGUGACAUGGAAGUAUUCACUAAGUCUGUACCUCCACCUCUCAGCCUACACGGCUUGGCCACUGGCAGUGUGCCAGAUGCCCAGGGUGGCCCGUCCUAGGGGGAGUGCUCGCUCCCUCCACAGCCUGCUCUUCUUCCUGGUCCCCUGGCAGUUCUCGGUGCCACCAUCCCCUACGUGCCUCGACCUUGGUUCCUAUUCCCAUCCUGCCAGGCAUUCAGUCUCGCAGCAACUUCCAUCAUCUCUGCUUGCAGACACCCGCUGGGUCCUCCCACCCAGCUCACCUCCCCUACUGGCCUGGGCCACGACCCCCUAGCACACCUGGAUCAUUCAAAGUCUUCAAGCUGUCUGCCUGUACCUGCCUUUGCUACUCAAUCUUGUUUUCUACAAUACAAAGUGACCUUUGAAAACACAAGAUGGAAGCCACAACAACUAGAUUCUUUGUUCCCUAACCCAAACAACACCCUAAACCAGCCGUUCACCUGUUUCUGCAGUGGAAACACAAGUGACUCCCAUCGCCUGACACAGACCUCUGUGCUUUGCUUGUUCUUUUCAGCCAUUUUGGCCACUUUGCUGUAAAGUUCGGAACCACCCCCUGGCCCCUGCCAUUCUGGAGCCCUGUAAUCCUGAACGAUACAAGAAAACCCAACUCAGCUUCAUCUCACACUGUCAGUCCCGGACUUCAGUAUUCACACCACAAUGCCAUACGAUGCCAGCAUCUCUUCAUCAAUAGACUUGUCAGCCUUGAAGGGGAUGCUCUCAUUGAUGUCUCAAAGGAGUAAUUGGUAUCACUUGAUGAAUCUGCUUUAAUAUUCUCACCUCUCCAAAACGAUGGUCUUUCCUCAGCACUUGAGCAAGGUGGAUCUGCCAUCUCCGCUCUUUCCUGGAGAAUGUCAGUGCCCUGGGAGCCGCCCUGGCCACACUCAAGAACCAGCCGCAGGGGUUCUUGGUGGGGCUGCUAGUUCCUAAGCCAAUCACCUUCUCUUUUUCAAGUCUUCCAAGCAGUUAACAAAAGCCGACUCUGUCCACAAUCAUUUCCCUUAUGUUGUUCCUAGAUCGUCUAACUCCCAGAGCCCAGCAGGGCCUGUGUUCCAACUGCUUCCAUCCCAGCUACCAGGGAAGCGUCCUAGUGGGGGUGCUCGUGAGUGGCCUGGCUAGCACCUCAGCUGGUGAAGAGUCUGCCUGCAGUGUGGGAGACCCCAGUUUGAUUCCUGGGUUGGGAAGAUCCCCUGGAAAAGGGAUAGGCUACCUAAUCCAGUAUUCUUGGGCUUCCCUGGUGGCUCAGCUGGUAAAGAAUCCUCCUACAAGGCAGGAGACCUGGAUUCAACCCCCGGAGAAAGGAAAGGCCACCUACUCCAGUAUUCUGGCCUGGAGAAUCCCAUGGACUGUAUAGUCUGUGGUAUCGCAAAGAGUCAGACACGACUGAACCGCUUUCACUUCACUUUGCUCGCAAUGGGGUCCUUGUUGCUGUUAGACCUGGCUCCAAAGUCUCCCAUUUUAAGGGCCCAUUUUAGUCUGCGCUCUCUCAAAACAGAACCAAAGGCAAGAUUUUACGUGCACACUAUUUACCUUGGAAGUGACUUCAGAAGCAGAAAUGAGAGACCAAGGAAAGUGAAGCAGGAAAACAGGGACAGCUUACACAAGAAGGCAGUACCUGUUGGUCACUAGGACCUUCUGCAGUGUAUAUAAAACGCCUUCCAAAAUCAUCCGCUAAAGAGGUGAAAGCAAGGGCAUCCGCUCCGGGCCUUUCCCGCUCGCACCGGCAGGGAGACGGCCUCCCUGCACUUACAGCUUGUGUGUGCCCGAAUGCAGGGCAGGCGUCAAGAAGCCUCAAGGUGGAAAGUGUAGCUCGAGCCUGAGAAGAGGCACAGGCAUCACCAGGGGGGCAGCAGUGUGGGGUGACCUGACGCUCUAAGGUGCGGCUUGGGUGUGAGGUCUGUCUGCGGAACAGCCAGGCCUGGGCAAAGUCAGUCCGCCAGCAGUGGGAGGGACAUCAGAUCCUUUCUGCUAUGACACUUCAGACAGUCGCUAAAGUGCCCUGGCCCUCACUCAGCUUAUUCAUUUGUAAAUCGUGAAAUGUGGGCUAAAUUUGUGGCUCCAAAACCUAUCUUUAGAACAGAACUACAUCGGGAAUUCUUAAAGUCACAUGGAUUUGGGCCCCAGAAAUCCUGUUUCAGGGAGUCCUGGCUACAGUACAAGAAAUCAUGUCUCAUAAGCCUCCGGGGUGAUUCCGAUGUAGUUAGUCCCUACACCUGCUUCUAGAGUCCCUUUCCAUUCUGUGACUUGGUGGAUUAUUUAGCCAUUGGAUAAAUGAUGUUGCAAUUUCAAGAUAGAUAUAGCAUGGAAUUAUUCCAUUUACAGGUUUGCAUUUGGAUGAGUUUACAGAAAAGAAGCGAUACGUUUGUAACAUAGGACGAUAUCCAGCCAGACGUUGCAGACCACACAACUUUCACCUGUGAAGGUGGCUUUUCGGCAAUCAUCACAUUGCUCUCUUCAUUCUUUUUUACCCGACGUAAUAAAUACUUGCUGAACAC
rnacentral:lncRNA from 1 species